GCAGGGGUGAACUUGGCUGGUGCUGUGUGCAGACUUCAAAUCUGUAGGCCGUUUGCGCGGCAGUGGUUCGAUUCCACCUCUCCUGCG
rnacentral:tRNA from 1 species